AGGGAAUCUUCGGCAAUGGACGGAAGUCUGACCGAGCAACGCCGCGUGAGUGAAGAAGGUUUUCGGAUCGUAAAGCUCUGUUGUAAGAGAAGAACGAGUGUGAGAGUGGAAAGUUCACACUGUGACGGUAUCUUACCAGAAAGGGACGGCUAACUACGUGCCAGCAGCCGCGGUAAUACGUAGGUCCCGAGCGUUGUCCGGAUUUAUUGGGCGUAAAGCGAGCGCAGGCGGUUAGAUAAGUCUGAAGUUAAAGGCUGUGGCUUAACCAUAGUACGCUUUGGAAACUGUUUAACUUGAGUGCAAGAGGGGAGAGUGGAAUUCCAUGUGUAGCGGUGAAAUGCGUAGAUAUAUGGAGGAACACCGGUGGCGAAAGCGGCUCUCUGGCUUGUAACUGACGCUGAGGCUCGAAAGCGUGGGGAGCAAACAGGAUUAGAUACCCUGGUAGUCCACGCCGUAAACGAUGAGUGCUAGGUGUUAGACCCUUUCCGGGGUUUAGUGUCGUAGCUAACGCAUUAAGCACUCCGCCUGGGGAGUACGACCGCAAGGUUG
rnacentral:rRNA from 1 species